rnacentral:lncRNA from 1 species
CAGCAACAUGGUUCAUCACCAAUCACACAUUCAUCAUUAUUUAUCAACCAAACCAAAUAAACAACAGCAUGGUAUUAUCUUCAUGGUAUCAACAAACAUUAAACAACAUGAUUCGACCACACCACCCAACAGCAUAGCCUUGACAAAUCAAUGAGGGUUUUAAAAAAUGCAGCAUGGUUUUCAUGGUGAUGCUCACACAGCCAACAAACAACAGCAUUCAGCAUAAAUCAAAUGGUUUUUUGGGCAAUGGUCAGGUUUGAACAGCAGGGCAAUGGAAAUCAAUCAUAAUCAAUUGAAAUUCAGCAUAGCAACAAAGUAUUCAUGUGUUCAUCAAACAUCUCAACAAAACAUACAACAGCACACAACAGCAUGGAUAUUAUGAGCAAGUUUGAAGUUGUCCAUCAGCAUGGGCAUAUGCAGCAAUGGUAUUCAUCAUCAUGUUUCAUCAUCAUCAAACCAAGCAAAACCAACACUAACAUGGCAAUGGUGAUGUUCCUACUGCAACUCAAACAACAGCAUACAUUCAUAUUUCAAAACUGCAACAGGAUUUUAGCAGCAUGGUAUAGCAGCAUCAAUUUCAUCAUCAUGUAACCAAAUGAAAUAAACAAACAGCAUUCAACACAAAUAAACAUAACAUGAAUCAAGGUGGAUUUCUGGACAUGUUCCUAGAGUUUUAAACAAGCAGCAACAUGGUU